GGGGUGGGCGGGAACAAGAUGGAAGUUGGAAUUCUUAAGCAUUAUUUUAAUUCAUUUGUCAUCCUCCUGAAAAUGUGGUGUUUGGGCAAUUUUGAAAGUGUUCUAAUAGCUUUCCUUAUUCCUUUUCAUAGAAAUUAACAACUAAUUAUGAACGCUGUAUUGUAGAAGCUCUCAAUGAAGCCCACUUCCUUUACACCUGUGUUGGUUUGACAGGGUGGCUUUAAGUUGGACGCUCUCAAUAAAGCUGUCAUACUUAGCUAUUGUAUACUUCUUCACAUCUAGUAAAUUUCCUAAGCAUUUACCUCCCCGUCCUCCUUCUCCUCCUUGCCCUCUCUUUCAUUCUCCUUGACUCUCUCUCUCUCUGAGAGAUACCUAGCCAGAGUCAAAGGAUUCUUCAUAAGAAGCAAGUGAAAGCAAUCUUCUCUGCUAGUCUUACAUAAGAACCACACAGCAGCCGGUCCCCUGAGCCAUCCCUGUCACAUUCUCCUGUCUGCUGAAGAGAGGAACAUCACCGAGAGUUGCUGGAAGAAGAAUGACUCACAGGUGAUACCCGCCACACACGUUAUCCUCAAGGUUUGAAAUAACCACCAAUGAAGGAGCCAGUCAAGAGAACCUGAGGUAAACUAGAAAGCAAGUGACCAAUAAACCCAGAAGACCAGGAGCUUCCAAGGUGGGGGAGGCUCAUGAUGCAGAGCCCCAAACAAUUACCUGACUCGCAAGCAAGCAACCAAUCAUUGAGACCCAGGAUGAAGUCAGAGGAAUGGGCAUGCCACGACAAAAGCCUUUACCUUUCUGACCUCUAACUCAGAGCCGCUCUGCUCCAGGUGAAGUCUCUGCCUUCACCUCUGGAUAAGGAUUCCACACUUGCAUCUUUAAGCUAGUUCGUGGGCAUCUCUACGGAAUUCAUCCACAGGCAUCUUACAGGCACAAGAUCAG
rnacentral:lncRNA from 1 species